rnacentral:rRNA from 1 species
CGGGACGAGAUUCUCGCUGUUUGCGAUACCNGUAAGCGGCUUAGCGAAAGCGUUAAGUAAUCCACCCUGGGGAGUACGUUCGCCAGAAUGAAACUCAAAGGAAUUGACGGGGGCCCGCACCAGCGGAGGAACAUGUGGUUUAAUUCGAUGAUACGCGAGGAACCUUACCCGGGCUUGAAAUGCUAUUGACCGGCUCAGAGACGAGCCUUCCCUUCGGGGCAAUAGUGUAGGUGCUGCAUGGUUGUCGUCAGCUCGUGCCGUGAGGUGUCCGCUUAAGUGCCAUAACGAGCGCCACCCUCAUCAUUAGUUACUAACAGGUCAAGCUGAGGACUCUAGUGAGACUGCCAUCGUAAGAUGCGAGGAAGGUGGGGAUGACGUCAAAUCAGCCCGGCCCUUAUGUCCGGGGCGACCCACGUGUUACAAUGGAUGGUACAACAGGCAGCUACUUGGCCACAAGAUGCUAAUCCCGAAAACCAUUCUCAGUUCGGAUCGAAGUCUGCAACUCGACUUCGUGAAGCUGGAUUCGCUAGUAAUCGCGCAUCAACCACGGCGCGGUGAAUACGUUCCCGGGUCUUGUACACACCGCCCGUCAAGCCAUGGAAGCUGGGGGUACCUGAAGCACGUAACCGCAAGGAGCGUUCUAGGGUAAAACUGGUAACUAGGGCUAAAUCGUAACAAGGU